UGCCCCUCUCUUUGGCCGGGUUAAUUUUACAAUAAUUAAUGCCGUAAAUGCAAGAGGAGGUAGAUUGAUUGAACAGGUGGGAAUUCGCCUUCGGUGCCCGUAACGGUUGUCAAAUCCGUGGGAAAACUAUCAUCCUUGUUUCCCUCCACA
rnacentral:snoRNA from 2 species